AUUGAACGCUGGCGGCAGGCCUAACACAUGCAAGUCGAGCGGAUGAGAGGAGCUUGCUCUUCGAUUCAGCGGCGGACGGGUGAGUAAUGCCUAGGAAUCUGCCUAGUAGUGGGGGACAACGUUUCGAAAGGAACGCUAAUACCGCAUACGUCCUACGGGAGAAAGUGGGGGAUCUUCGGACCUCACGCUAUCAGAUGAGCCUAGGUCGGAUUAGCUAGUUGGCGGGGUAAUGGCUCACCAAGGCGACGAUCCGUAACUGGUCUGAGAGGAUGAUCAGUCACACUGGAACUGAGACACGGUCCAGACUCCUACGGGAGGCAGCAGUGGGGAAUAUUGGACAAUGGGCGAGAGCCUGAUCCAGCCAUGCCGCGUGUGUGAAGAAGGUCUUCGGAUUGUAAAGCACUUUAAGUUGGGAGGAAGGGCAGUAAGUUAAUACCUUGCUGUUUUGACGUUACCGACAGAAUAAGCACCGGCUAACUCUGUGCCAGCCGCCGCGGUAA
rnacentral:rRNA from 1 species